rnacentral:rRNA from 1 species
UACAGAGGUGCUCAAGCGUUGUUCGGAUUCAUUGGGCGUAAAGGGUGCGUAGGUGGCGUCUGUAAGUCGGGUGUGAAAAUUUCCGGAGCUUAACUCCGAAACUGCAUUCGAUACUGACGGUGCUUGAGGACUGGGAGAGGAGACUGGAAUUUAUGGUGUAGCAGUGAAAUGCGUAGAGAUCAUAAGGAAGACCAGUGGCGAAGGCGGGUCUCUGGACAGUUCCUGACACUGAGGCACGAAGGCCAGGGGAGCAAACGGG